UUUGUUUAAAUCUUGGUCCAGAAGACCUUGCUGUCUAGAGAGCUUUGGCUACAGCUAUUGACUCCCUAUACCCUUGCUACCCGUGGUGAUCAUGCAGUAAAAGUAUGGAGCAUAUUAGCCUUGUUGGUCCCCUAUGAUUGAGCUUCUGCAGGGCCACAACAAAUCAGUUGUGUAUAUCUGUUUGUUCUAGUCUUUGAAGGCACAAACCCCACACUGUUGUCCUCCUGUUGUUUCCCCAGCGUGUUCAUCGUGUGAGUGAAGGAGUUGUGGUGUUCAGGUCUGAGUAAUCUCCCUUCCGACUCCCCAGUUUGGUCUGCUCCUGAGCGAUGUGUCAUAUUCUCGGCCUGGUGACCAGCCCAGCCGACUAUCCCCCUCAUAAACGCCUCAAAGGUUUGUAUGCCUGCGUGAUGCUUGUUCCAAGCUCUCCUUAGAUCAGUGAAGCUCGCCGAAGAGGUUUUUCUAACUCAACCAUGGUGAUUUGUUCAGAACACGACCUCGACGUUGCGGAGCGCCGCCGUGAACCACCCAAUCGUCAACCGGUCACCUUGUGUUUUCUCUGAGCAAGAUUAGGUGAGCACGGUGUCCUUAUUGAGCUUGUGAUACUUCCCGUGCUCUUGAUUUGAACGCUACUGCGCGGCGGUUGGGGAAUCGUGCCCACCAGACCGAGGUUUCCGCCGCCAUUGUCGGUAGCACGGUUGUAGUAUCUUUGCAGGUUGAUCUAAUGCAUGCUCGAGUUCACUGUAAUCCAGGGACCCUGUUAGUGACCUCGCGGUUACCUGUGUCGCACCAUGGUGGUCGUUUAGUCGUCGGCUCGCCAGAGUGGACGGCGGAGUGUUGUGGCCGAGCGUUUGUAAAAGGAGAUAAACCGAAGAACUUAAGUGCUUCUGUCAGUGGAAUAGGGCAAUAGUGGCCUGGGUUCCGUUGGAUUAUUCCAGGCACGUGGGUCCUUUGCGCAAAAGAACAAACGCAAGCGUGGGCUCUCAGCCGCAUGCCAGCCCUGCUCGGUAAUGUGCUGCGUGGGCCGGAUUCAGCCCGCAAUUUAAUGCCUUCCCUUUAUUUAUUUAGCUGAGAGCUUGUUAAUUAGACCACAAAUUGUACAAAAAUAGUAUAAAAUCAUGUACUUUCUAGUAAAAAAAUAAAUUUAGGAUUUUUACGACAGAUGCCAAAUUUCAGGGAAUAAAUUUUAGAAAUAAGAAUUGAGCACCAAAAAUCAUGGAAUUUUUUUUGAGAAAUUUGUUAUCAGAAGCUGAUCACUUGGUAAAAGUUUGGUGCUGUUUGUAAGCCAUUUGUUCAGAAAUCCUUGUAGAGUCCCUAAUUGAAAUAAUAAGAAGAACAUAAUCACAUGUGGAUUAGAAAUUUGGAAAAAGGAACAAGUUUAACAAGUGAAACCUGAUCUUUGGAUAAAGAAGCAAGAGUGCCUAGUGGGAUCUGGAUUUUUGGUGUAGUUUGAAGAUUGUUCUAAUUCUCUAGAAGUUCAAGUUGUAGGAUUCAAGUCAGAAAAGUAAGUCCUUACUUAAGUCAAGCAUAGAGUUAUUGGUUAUGGAGACAGAGUUCCCUAGUGUGGCUUGAGAGCUUAGUGAUGAUAUUAGAAUGUUUAGCUCCCCUGUUGUUUGGUUAGUUUUGUGUGCACCUUUAGUAAGGUGUAGUUUGUACUGCUUUAGAGUAUCUUCUUUGUAGUUGCACAAGUAUAUGCAUUCAUGUUCACAUCAUUUCAUGUAGAGCUCCGAGCAGAAGGAGUGUAAAUUCAAGACGAAGUGGUUGUGGAAGAGGAGUUUGCUCGAGUGCCUAUUCAGCAAGUGGAUAGAGCUAUCUAACUGGUUAUUGGGUAGAAAGGUCUU
rnacentral:lncRNA from 1 species